AUUGAACGCUGGCGGCAGGCCUAACACAUGCAAGUCGAGCGGAUGAGUGGAGCUUGCUCCAUGAUUCAGCGGUGGACGGGUGAGUAAUGCCUAGGAAUCUGCCUGGUAGUGGGGGACAACGUUCCGAAAGGAGCGCUAAUACCGCAUACGUCCUACGGGAGAAAGUGGGGGAUCUUCGGACCUCACGCUAUCAGAUGAGCCUAGGUCGGAUUAGCUAGUAGGUGGGGUAAUGGCUCACCUAGGCGACGAUCCGUAACUGGUCUGAGAGGAUGAUCAGUCACACUGGAACUGAGACACGGUCCAGACUCCUACGGGAGGCAGCAGUGGGGAAUAUUGGACAAUGGGCGAAAGCCUGAUCCAGCCAUGCCGCGUGUGUGAAGAAGGUCUUCGGAUUGUAAAGCACUUUAAGUUGGGAGGAAGGGCAGUAAGUUAAUAACCUUGCUGUUUUGACG
rnacentral:rRNA from 1 species